rnacentral:rRNA from 1 species
GACGAACGCUGGCGGCGUGCUUAACACAUGCAAGUCGAACGGAAAGGCCUCUUUCGGGGGGUACUCGAGUGGCGAACGGGUGAGUAACACGUGAGUAACCUGCCCUUGACUUUGGGAUAACUUCAGGAAACUGGGGCUAAUACCGGAUAGGAGCUCCUGCUGCAUGGUGGGGGUUGGAAAGUUUCGGCGGUUGGGGAUGGACUCGCGGCUUAUCAGCUUGUUGGUGGGGUAGUGGCUUACCAAGGCUUUGACGGGUAGCCGGCCUGAGAGGGUGACCGGCCACAUUGGGACUGAGAUACGGCCCAGACUCCUACGGGAGGCAGCAGUGGGGAAUAUUGCACAAGGGGUGGAAGCCUGAUGCAGCAACGCCGUGGGCGGGAUGACGGCCUUCGGGUUGUAAACCGCUUUCGCUCAUGACGAAGCUUUGUGUGACGGUAAUGGGUAAAGAAGCACCGGCUAACUACGUG